GGGUAAAGUACCACUGUAUAUAUUGGGCCAGAGAGUGCCAUUCUUCUACUACUGAGUAAUACUGUACUUGGACAUGAAUCCACAUGGAAAAACCUGCAAAUUCAGCCCUCCUAAAGCAGAGGCAACAGCACCUGAUGGUAGCACUUGGAAGAUGUACAAUUACAACGCUGCAUACCAGGAUUUCUUUAUAAAAUUUCUUAGUCUGAGUCAGUUGUUCUAUUUAAAUAAUCUUCUUUUUCCCAGUGAAGCAUUAACACACAUUCUGCAACAUUUUCUACAGUGUGUGUUGUAAUUGGGUGUAAUGCAUUACUUUAUACUGUACAUUUUAGAAAAAUUACAGCUAUUAAAAUGAAAAAUUAAUGAACACUUUCUUCUUACAUAAAAGAAAAUGGCUACUACACUGUGCUAAAUUGUGAUACCCACAGAACUAUGAUGGGGGCAGUGCAGAGCCACACCACCUUGUGGUGAGUUUGAGCAGAGGAUGUUAUCUCAAGUACCACUGUAUGUUCCAGAGAGUAUAGGGGAGCCAUCCCUUCAGGUGGUGCAGCACACUCCAUUCUCUGCAGGAAUGUGUGUGUUGAGGGUGGGCAGGUAGAGACAGGGUAAUAAUCAGUGUGAAUAGAAUUCAAGAAUUCCUGGUUCUGUUCUUUAAUCCGACGUAUCAGAUGGCUGCUGUUCGCCCCCAGUUUUUUCAAUUUCAUAAAUGUGAUUUUAUUUAUUUAUUUAUUUAUUGCAAAAAGUGACUUUGAUUCUUUUUAAAAAAAAAGCAAACAAACAAACUUCCAGAUAUUGAGUAACACUUUGCCGGAUGUAAUUUCAAAUUAUGUUCAAAUUUUAAAAGAAAUUGGUCCAAAUUUGUGGAAGGUACUCUCACUCUAAACCAAAUAUAUUUUGCAUGGAUGGGGAGGAUGGAAAUUGCACUGUGAAUAUUUUGUCCAGCUCCAAUUAUUAUUUAAGAUGUUAAAUUUUGUUUUUUGUCUGCAGAUGCCUACAUUCAUGUAAUAACUGUGCUCUUGAUUAGAAUACAGAUUGUUUCCUUCGCACAAAUUGAAUUAGAAGUAGUUUAUACAAACUAAUUUUUACUACACCAUCAAAGCGUGCAUAUUGUACUGUAUUCUCCCCCUCAGAUCCUAAAAAGAAAGUGUCAUACCUGUGUUUAAUUUGUUUUUAGUUCCCACUAAGUGUGCCAGGUGUGUUGUUCAAGCCUUUAGUUAACAGAAGAAUGAAAUUGCUAUCGCUGUUAACUAACUUUUAUCCAGAUGGUGUCUGCAUGUAUCUUAAUUGUAAUAUAGGUUAGUACAUUACAAAGUUUGCUGUUGGGUAAGAUGUUGUUUUUCACAAUGGGAAAUGGCUUUCAUGGCAACUAAGUUUAAGGCUCGUAACCUAUGUCUCUGCCUGUUGGUUGAGGAUUGCCACGCUAAUUGCAGAGGGGUUAGUACGGCAGAUAUUUGUGGAGUAUGUUAAUAUGGUGAUUGCUUGUACAGCACUCAGCACAAUUGGAUUCCAGUCAUGACUGGGUGUUUUGGGUGCCACCACAGUGCAAAUAAAAUUAAUAUUGAAACAUUUAAGGGGCAUAAUCUUCAUUAUAUUGCUUCCCGUGUGUGUGUGUGUGUGUGUAUGUAUGCAUGUAAGCAGAAAAGCAUCUACCUUAGCAAUCACUUUCUCCUAAACUAAAACACUGAAUUUCCACACACGUGUUGAAGCAAACUUCUCUUUGUGCAAUGCAUUGUACUCGUGGCUGGAGUGUUUUCUUCUUUUCAAGUCAGACAUACAGUAUAUAACUUGGAAGGAAAAAUAAAAUCCCUUUUUAAGGAAUAAAUAAUGGCUGUUGUACUAGCACUGCCAAUCUAACCUAGCAAUUCAACUCCUGAGUUACUUGAGAAAGUUUUGUUCGACAUUUUCAACAUCUGAAAGUUGACUUCAGUCUUUUCACUUGAUGGCAUUAACUACUGAACAUUGUUAAAGGGAAACUUUACAUGCUAUGAUCUGUCCAAGAAGUACAAAUAAAGUGUUAAAUUGGCA